CCUACGGUAGGUAGCAGUCGAGAAUCAUUCACAAUGGGGGAAACCCUGAUGGUGCGACGCCGCGUGGGGGAAUGAAGGUCUUCGGAUUGUAAACCCCUGUCAUGUGGGAGCAAAUUAAAAAGAUAGUACCACAAGAGGAAGAGACGGCUAACUCUGUGCCAGCAGCCGCGGUAAUACAGAGGUCUCAAGCGUUGUUCGGAAUCACUGGGCGUAAAGCGUGCGUAGGCUGUUUCGUAAGUCGUGUGUGAAAGGCGCGGGCUCAACCCGCGGACGGCACAUGAUACUGCGAGACUAGAGUAAUGGAGGGGGAACCGGAAUUCUCGGUGUAGCAGUGAAAUGCGUAGAUAUCGAGAGGAACACUCGUGGCGAAGGCGGGUUCCUGGACAUUAACUGACGCUGAGGCACGAAGGCCAGGGGAGCGAAAGGGAUUAGAUACCCGAGUAGUC
rnacentral:rRNA from 1 species